rnacentral:rRNA from 1 species
GACGAACGCUGGCGGCGUGCCUAAUACAUGCAAGUCGAACGCUGAAGAGAGGAGCUUGCUCUUCUUGGAUGAGUUGCGAACGGGUGAGUAACGCGUAGGUAACCUGCCUUGUAGCGGGGGAUAACUAUUGGAAACGAUAGCUAAUACCGCAUAACAAUGGAUGACACAUGUCAUUUAUUUGAAAGGGGCAAUUGCUCCACUACAAGAUGGACCUGCGUUGUAUUAGCUAGUAGGUGAGGUAAUGGCUCACCUAGGCGACGAUACAUAGCCGACCUGAGAGGGUGAUCGGCCACACUGGGACUGGGACACGGCCCAGACUCCUACGGGAGGCAGCAGUAGGGAAUCUUCGGCAAUGGGGGCAACCCUGACCGAGCAACGCCGCGUGAGUGAAGAAGGUUUUCGGAUCGUAAAGCUCUGUUGUAAGUCAAGAACGGGUGUGAGAGUGGAAAGUUCACACUGUGACGGUAGCUUACCAGAAAGGGACGGCUAACUACGUG